GACGAACGCUGGCGGCGUGCUUAACACAUGCAAGUCGAACGGAAAGGCCCUGCUUUUGUGGGGUGCUCGAGUGGCGAACGGGUGAGUAACACGUGAGUAACCUGCCCUUGACUUUGGGAUAACUUCAGGAAACUGGGGCUAAUACCGGAUAGGAGCUCCUGCUGCAUGGUGGGGGGUGGAAAGUUUCGGCGGUUGGGGAUGGACUCGCGGCUUAUCAGCUUGUUUGUGGGGUAGUGGCUUACCAAGGCUUUGACGGGUAGCCGGCCUGGGAGGGUGACCGGCCCCAUUGGGACUGAGAUACGGCCCAGACUCCAACGGGAGGCAGUAGUGGGGAAUAUUGCACAGUGGGCGGAAGCCUGAUGAAGCAACGCCGCGGGCGGGAUGACGGCCUUCGGGUUGUAAACCGCUUUAGCCUGUGACGAAGCGUGAGUGACGGUAAUGGGUAAAGAAGCACCGGCUAACUACGUG
rnacentral:rRNA from 1 species